rnacentral:rRNA from 1 species
AAGUCGAGUUGGCUUAGGGAUACGUUCGUUGGGUAGGGGAGCGUUCUGUAAGCCUGUGAAGGUGUGUCGUGAGGCAUGCUGGAGGUAUCAGAAGUGCGAAUGCUGACAUAAGUAACGAUAAAGCGGGUGAAAAGCCCGCUCGCCGGAAGACCAAGGGUUCCUGUCCAACGUUAAUCGGGGCAGGGUGAGUCGACCCCUAAGGCGAGGCCGAAAGGCGUAGUCGAUGGGAAACGGGUUAAUAUUCCCGUACUUGGUGUUACUGCGAAGGGGGGACGGAGAAGGCUAUGUUGGCCGGGCGACGGUUGUCCCGGUUUAAGCGUGUAGGUGUGUGUUCCAGGUAAAUCCGGUU